rnacentral:rRNA from 1 species
GCUAACGCGUUAAGUAGACCGCCUGGGGAGUACGGUCGCAAGAUUAAAACUCAAAUGAAUUGACGGGGGCCCGCACAAGCGGUGGAGCAUGUGGUUUAAUUCGAUGCAACGCGAAGAACCUUACCUACUCUUGACAUCCAGAGAACUUUCCAGAGAUGGAUUGGUGCCUUCGGGAACUCUGAGACAGGUGCUGCAUGGCUGUCGUCAGCUCGUGUUGUGAAAUGUUGGGUUAAGUCCCGCAACGAGCGCAACCCUUAUCCUUGUUUGCCAGCGAGUAAUGUCGGGAACUCCAGGGAGACUGCCGGUGAUAAACCGGAGGAAGGUGGGGACGACGUCAAGUCAUCAUGGCCCUUACGAGUAGGGCUACACACGUGCUACAAUGGCGCAUACAGAGGGCGGCCAACUUGCGAAAGUGAGCGAAUCCCAAAAAGUGCGUCGUAGUCCGGAUUGGAGUCUGCAACUCGACUCCAUGAAGUCGGAAUCGCUAGUAAUCGUGGAUCAGAAUGCCACGGUGAAUACGUUCCCGGGCCUUGUACACACCGCCCGUCACACCAUGGGAGUGGGCUGCAAAAGAAGUAGGUAGUUUAACCUUCGGGGGGACGCUUACCACUUUGUGGUUCAUGACUGGGGUGAAGUCGUAACAAGGUAGCGCUAGGGGAACCUGGCGCUGGAUCACCUCCUUA